UACGGAGGAUGCGAGCGUUAUCCGGAUUUAUUGGGUUUAAAGGGUGCGUAAGCGGGAUGCCAAGUCAGCGGUAAAAAUGCGGUGCUCAACGCCGUCGAGCCGUUGAAACUGGCGUUCUUGAGUGGGCGAGAAGUAUGCGGAAUGCGUGGUGUAGCGGUGAAAUGCAUAGAUAUCACGCAGAACUCCGAUUGCGAAGGCAGCAUACCGGCGCCCUACUGACGCUGAGGCACGAAAGCGUGGGUAUCGAACAGG
rnacentral:rRNA from 1 species